CCGCCCGGGAACUACGAGCAUUAGCUUGAAACCCAAAGGACUUGGCGGUGCUUUAGAUCCACCUAGAGGAGCCUGUUCUAGAACCGAUUACCCCCGUUCAACCUCACCUUUCCUUGUCUCCCCCGCCUAUAUACCACCGUCGUCAGCUUACCCUGUGAGGGACUCAUAGUAAGCAAAAUUGGCAUAGCCCAAAACGUCAGGUCGAGGUGUAGCGUAUGGGAAGGGAAGAAAUGGGCUACAUUCCCUAACACAGAGAAUACGAAUGAUAUACUGAAACACAUAUCUGAAGGAGGAUUUAGCAGUAAGCAAAAAAUAGAGCGUCUUGCUGAAACUGGCCCUGAAGCGCGCACACACCGCCCGUCACCCUUGGC
rnacentral:rRNA from 1 species